AUCGCCUGUACAGGCGCCACGGGUUGCCGGUUCGCGGCCGCUCACACCAAGGAGAAUGCCGACGAGAUCGCAGCCUGGUGCGAGGAGCGGGUGCCGCUGGAGACGCCGGUGAACAUUCAUCUCACCGGAUGUCAUCAUUCCUGCGCCCAGCAUUACAUCGGAGACAUCGGCCUGAUCGGUGCACGCGUUCCGAUCAAUGACGAUGGCGACACCGUCGACGG
rnacentral:misc_RNA from 1 species